rnacentral:rRNA from 1 species
AACGAACGCUGGCGGCAGGCCUAACACAUGCAAGUCGAACGCCCGUAGCAAUACGGGAGUGGCAGACGGGUGCAUAACACGUGGGAACCUACCCUAGGGUUCGGAAUAACCGCGGGAAACUGCGGCUAAUACCGGAUACGUCCUCUGGGAGAAAGGUUUAUCGCCCUUGGAGGGGCCCGCGUCGGAUUAGCUAGUUGGUGAGGUAACGGCUCACCAAGGCGACGAUCCGUAGCUGAUCUGAGAGGAUGAUCAGCCACACUGGAACUGAGACACGGUCCAGACUCCUACGGGAGGCAGCAGUGGGGAAUAUUGGACAAUGGGCGCAAGCCUGAUCCAGCAAUGCCGCGUGGGUGAUGAAGGCCUUCGGGUUGUAAAGCCCUUUUGGCAGGGACGAUGAUGACGGUACCUGCAGAAUAAGCCCCGGCUAACUUCGUGCCAGCAGCCGCAGUAA